rnacentral:rRNA from 1 species
AGCGAACGCUGGCGGCAGGCCUAACACAUGCAAGUCGAGCGCCGUAGCAAUACGGAGCGGCAGACGGGAGAGUAACACGUGGGAACGUACCCUUUGGUUCGGAACAACCCAGGGAAACUUGGGCUAAUACCGGAUAAGCCCUCACGGGGAAAGAUUGAUCGCCGAAGGAUCGGCCCGCGUCUGAUUAGCUAGUUGGUGGGGUAACGGCCCACCAAGGCGACGAUCAGUAGCUGGUCUGAGAGGAUGAUCAGCCUCACUGGGACUGAGACACGGCCCAGACUCCUACGGGAGGCAGCAGUGGGGAAUAUUGGACAAUGGGCGCAAGCCUGAUCCAGCCAUGCCGCGUGGGUGAUGAAGGCCCUAGGGUUGUAAAGCCCUUUCGGCGGGGAAGAUAAUGACGGUACCCGCAGAAGAAGCCCCGGCUAACUUCGUGCCAGCAGCCGCCGUAA